rnacentral:rRNA from 1 species
AUUGAACGCUGGCGGCGUGCUUAACACAUGCAAGUCGAACGCGAAAGGGACUUCGGUCCUGAGUAAAGUGGCGCACGGGUGAGUAACGCGUGGAUAAUCUGCCCUUAUGAUUGGAAUAACAGUUGGAAACGGCUGCUAAUACCGGAUACGCUCAAAAUGAACUUUUUGAGGAAAGAUGGCCUCUGCUUGCAUGCUAUCGCAUAAGGAUGAGUCCGCGUCCCAUUAGCUUGUUGGCGGGGUAACGGCCCACCAAGGCAACGAUGGGUAGCCGAUUUGAGAGGAUGAUCGGCCACACUGGAACUGAAACACGGUCCAGACUCCUACGGGAGGCAGCAGUGGGGAAUAUUGCGCAAUGGGCGAAAGCCUGACGCAGCGACGCCGCGUGAGGGAUGAAGGUUUUCGGAUCGUAAACAUCUGUCAGAAGGGAAGAAACUACGUUGUGCUAAUCAGCAGCGUACUGACGGUACCUUCAAAGGAAGCACCGGCUAACUCCGUGCCAGCCGCCGCUGUAA